rnacentral:rRNA from 1 species
CGGAUUGGAGCUGCAACCCGACUCCAUGAAGCUGGAUUCGCUAGUAAUUGCGCAUCAGCCACGGCGCGGUGAAUACGUUCCCGGGCCUUGUACACACCGCCCGUCAAGCCAUGGAAGCCGGGAGUGCCUGAAGUGCGUGAGCGCAAGCAGCGCCCUAAGGUAAAACCGGUGACUGGGGCUAAGUCGUAACAAGGUACC